rnacentral:rRNA from 1 species
UACGGUGGGAGCAAGCGUUGUUCGGAUUUACUGGGCGUAAAGGGCGCGUAGGCGGCGUGGUAAGUCACUUGUGAAAUCUCCGGGCUUAACUCGGAACGGUCAAGUGAUACUGCUGUGCUAGAGUGCGGAAGGGGCAACUGGAAUUCUCGGUGUAGCGGUGAAAUGCGUAGAUAUCGAGAGGAACACCUGCGGCGAAGGCGGGUUGCUGGGCCGACACUGACGCUGAGGCGCGAAAGCCAGGGGAGCAAACGGG